AAUUUCAGCUCUUGGAUCAAAUUCAAGCAAGGAAAGAGGAAGCAGACAACCAGAGAGCUGCUGGGAAGGCACAUCCAAGCAUGCUCAGUUUAUUCUAGCUACAAGUUCUGCCAUUAUGAUGCGAGGUUUCCUCUGUGACUGUUGCCACCACCCCCAUCUGCUGUGAUCUAAACUACAGAAACCUCCUCGAGUGGGUGUGAGCAAGAGCCGAGGAAAGGCUCUGUUGUGCAGCUAUCACACUGUGUUCAGGCUUGAUGCUGUGGGAUUCCUCCCUCCCUUCCCUGGUAAACACAGCACUUUGGCUGAUACCACUUUUCUGACCUUCAAGACGACUCACAUGUAUGUGUGCACAAACGUGCACCAUUGGACCUAAUUCUGACUGAGUUACAUCCCCUGCAUUUCACUGCUGGUUUGCGUGGCUCCUAUAAAGACAAAACCCAGCUGAUUCCUGCUCUGAACCUGAAGAGAGAAGCCUGCCUGUCACAACUGGCUUGCCUGGAAACGCACUGGGAUGAUCUGGGAUUGGGUGAGAUGUCCGUAGUCCUCAGGCUCUGACCCCCACAGGGAGAGGGGUGCUCAGUGCCAUGCCCUCCUCACCACCAGCUCUCAAAUCCUCUUCUGGACCAGCAUCAAGAAACAGGCUAGGACUGCAGCAGAGAGAAUUCAUAAACUGUUCCUAAUGUCCAACCAAGCAAAAUGUACAGAGAAGCAUUAGAAUUGUACAUUCAUAAGGAAUUGAGAUUUUACAAAGAUCUUCCAAGAGCAGUUUAGAAAAGCAUCUGUCACAGCAACAGCAAG